AACUUAUUGCCCAGCAUUUAAUUGAUGCUAAAUACUCAUUAGAUGGGUGAAUCAAAUUAUAAAUCAGCGGAGAAUCCAUUCUUAGAAGAUAAAUGGUAUAAAUACACAAUAAAGGGGAAAUCAUCAUAAUUUUUAAGGGAAUUAUGAAGAGUUAGGACUCUUAUAUUGGGCUUACAUUGGAAAGAUCCUGAAAAUCAAGCUGAAAAACUGGAAUUUAUUCCAUAAAAAAAAUGUAGGUUACAAAAUGCAGUUUUUCACUGGAGCUAUAAGAUAAAGGUGGUGUUUAAAAUAAUAUUUUAAAUUAAUUAGUUCUCCUCAAGGUAACUGAAAGGAACAAUUACUUACAUACCUUGUGUGAAUAUAGUGGACUUUCAUAUCUAGAGGAGGAGGAGGAGGACAAGGGAGAAGAAUCACAAGGAGCAGGAAGAGGGGGAAAGGAAGGCAAAAAGAAGAAUAAGAAGACAAAGAAUAAAGUCAGGAAAGAGAAGAUGAGCAGCAGGGGCAGUAACAGUAACAGGAGAAAGAGAAAGAGGAGUGGAAGAAAGUAAGAAGGAGGAGAAGAAACAGCAAGUGACAAACCACAUCCUUCUCUUAGGAAAACAUUGUAAGUUUAUUCAACAGACAUAAAAUUACUCUGAGAAAUUGCUUACAAAAGUUUACAAAUGCUUUCAAGUUCUGUAGAAAUCUCAUUACAGACAGGUAGUAAACAGUUUGCAGGCAGGCCUUGGCCCAUGGACCACAUUUUCGGUAACCCUGGGCCAUAGGACACAGCCAUUCAAAAUAAUGUGCCUUCAUUUCAAACUUGUCAUCAUAUGAACAAUAUUAUUCAGCAGGUUUCCAAACUGAGGAUGCUGUGACUAAAAGUUAUCAUCUGUAAAGUGUGUUAAUAUUCUAUACACUAGUUUUGUGAAAUAUUUUAAAAUACCACAGAGAAGGAAAAGAAGGAAGGAGGAAAAAAUAAAAUUGGCGAUCCAUUUCAUAACUGCACCAAAAAUUAUUUGAAUAGGGCUUUUUCAUAAAAUAUCACAACCAAGUGUCAAAAUUCCACUGAGGAGGGAAUAAAAGAACACUAGGUUAAAUUUACCAGGUGAGAAUUUAGUGAGGUGCAGCAGUCCCCCUUUAUUCACAAGGGUUGCAUUUCAAGACUCCCAGUAGGUGCUUGCAGUGGGGGGAUAGUACCAAAUCCUAUAUAUACUAUUUUUUUCCAAUAUAUACAUACCUAGGAUAAAGUUUAAUUUAUAAAUUAGACACAGUAAGUGAUUAACAAUAAUUAAUAUUAAAAUAGAACAAUUAUAGCAAUUUACUGUAAUAAAAGUUAUUUGAAUGUGGUCUCUUUCUCUCUGUCUCUCUCUUUCAAAAUAUCUUAUGUUCAUAAAAAUAACCUACUGCGGUUGACCGUAACUGAAACUGCAGAAAGUGAAACCACAAAUAUGAGGGAGCUACUUUAUAAAUAAGAAUGUUCUUUACAACGAAAACUGUCAAGUACUUCAAUGUAAUAGCUGUCAUGCCAAGAAACCCUGCCUAGUAGCCUAGCAUCAUGAGACUUAACCUUGCCUAUUAGGAAGUCAGCCAAUUUCUGCCUAAGAUUUAAUUAUUCUUCUAACAGAACCCAAACUUCUAACACAACCCAAACUCCAAAACAUGACCACGUGGCUAAUCUGCCUAUGGUGUGCCAAGAACUUCAAGGCAGUAAAGCUUAGGAAUUUAAGUACCAGAGAACACGAAACCACAGACUAUUAAAAAAUAUAGUACAGACAGUCCCCAAGUUAAAAUCGGGUGUGUUUCAAAACUUUCUUCAUUGGCUCUUCAGAACUCAGAAUACUUUUCCCAUAAUGAUGAUAUUAUAAACUAACAAAAGGCUAAUACAUGCAUAUGUAAGAGAACUACUGUGUACUAGGAAUGAAAAAGUAUAGAAAAUUGCCAAAGUAUAAACUUUUUAAUGUUCAAAAAUAUAUUUAUGAGAAUACAUAGUGAGCACAUUUCAAAUAUUUAAACUUAAUGAGGGAACCAUUAGGAUGGUAAAGGCUGUUUAAAGAAGUAUAUGCAAGACUGGUGUAUCGAAUUAGUAAAAGAAAAGAUGCUAAAAUAAGAUUGCUAAAUUAGAUACUGGGUAGAUUAACAGCUCACCAAAGUGGUAUAAAAAUUAUUUUAAACUGAGAACAUCUUAAUCUACAAUCACCAAAAAAUAAAAAUAAAACAUUAUCUACACUUAUGCAGGUACUCCCAAAAAUACACCUGCCUUUGACACUACCCACACCCCUUCACCCAGGGAGUUUCCUGUUUCAGAAAAUACUGACACUCAGCACCAGGAAGUAUGAAUUUAGCUGCCUAUUAGCAUCAAAAAGCCAAAUAGAGCCUUUCAUACUUUCCUAUUGAUGCCCUAAACCUCCCCUCCAUUUUUGCUAAAUUGGAAUACAAACCUUUAUCUCUGGCUACUAAACAAGUUACUCAUUACUGAGUACUUCUGUAGGCACAAAAACUUUUGUUCUGUUAAUCUAUUCUUAGUUAAUCCAAAGGCCUAGACCAUUCAAACCUAAGAGGGUUAGGGGAAAGUUUUCCUCCCAACAGAGCAAAACCGGCUAAUGUCGUAAAGAGCUAUAAAAUCAUAACCUCUGGAUUAUGUUUUCUACUGAAGGGGUUCAAAACAUGCUACCCUCAAAAUAUGCCACUUGGCAUAUUGCUUAUUUCAAGCUAAAGUAAAUUAAGAAACAGCCAAUGCAGAAAAAGCUCUUCACUUCCCCCUCACCUGUUUAAAAUAAUGUAUAAACUUCCCCUUCUGUAAGGAAAAUUUACAUUUACAAAGAAAAUUUCUAUUAGUAAAGGUAUCCAUACCAGGAAGAGAACAACUCUAAGACAAUUUUUAUUGCCUGAGAGACUCUUAUCCACAUAAGAAGGUAAACUAUAUUCACCCUACAUUUCCUCCUCUCACCUUCCCAUCAUUUGCCUCCACCACUCCCCAGAAGUUCCAAAGCCCUAUUUUUUCCUAUAGCUUAUGCUGACAUAUGUCUCAGUUAUCUGGGUACUUCCUUGAGUCUCAUUUUUAGUGGGAUUCCCACGCAUAUGUCCAUAAAUUAAAGUUAUUUUUCUCCUACUAAUGUUUUUUAUGUCCAUUUAAUUCUUAGACCAGCCACAGAACAUAGAAGGGUAGAAGGGAGCAUUUUUUCCUCCCCUACACAAUCACACAGAAAUCAAUUUCAUCUCUACCAAAUGAAAAUUAUUUUCAACUCUGUAAUGAUAGAUGUUAAUUCCUAGAAUCUAGUCCUAAUCAAUAGUAAAUAGUAAUUUUAACAAAAGAAAUGACAGGAUUUUUAGGUGCUGCUUUCCAGGUGGAAAUUUCUGCGGCCGGCAGCACUCCUGCCCCAGCUUCACUCCACUCAGGGCUCACUGCUAGACUUGCCCCACAUACUCGGCCCAGCAGGCUGUGCUGUGCUCAUGCUGCCAACCUGGAUCUCACACCCAUCAAGGGCAAGCCAGGAGCACCAGCUGCUACAGCAGUAGGGGGCAACUCCAGGGGCCACCUCUGUACAAGUCUGCAGCUGGACCAGGAAUACUGCAAGUGGCCUCCACCUUGGGCACCAGCAUCUGGAUGAGAGGAACAUGGUGGUGCCUGAAAAACUCAGAGACAUCAGCAACCGUGGAACCCAAAGGGGGUGUUACAGCUCCAGCUUGGGGAGUCCUGAGGUCUGGGCUCCAGAAGGGUUGCCGCUCUUCUCUCCCAUGGACCAGAGAAUGGGAGCGUGUCAAUGCCCACAGCUCAGUGAGCCAGCCAGGAACAUGUUACAGUCUUUUUUGCACCAAUCAUUCAGCAGGUCCCAGGUUCUUGUCCUACGUUCGAGAAGAAUGAGUUAUGCAGCCAACCAGAGGGUGACCAAGGCAGAGAAGAGUUUUAUCAAAUGGCAGAAGAGCUCUCCACAGAGAGGGUUCCCAAAGUGAGUAGCCCCUACCCAAAGUUGGGUAGUCCCUCCAUGUGGCUGAGUCUGGGGUUUUUAUAGGCUCAGAAUGGGGGAGAUGUGGGCUGUAGGUACCCUUGGAAAAGGCAACAUUUGAUUGAUUAAAAGGAAGUUUUCAGAAAUAACCAAUCAGAAAAGAGCGGGCACACAGAAAUAGUUCUCGCUUAGGUUGUGGACUCUAUCUGGAACCCGGAGCCAGGUUUUCAGGCUUCAGGCUGUUUUUGGCUUGAGGGUCAGGUUUCACUGCAGACCCACCCCUGUCUGCCUAGGAAUAUGUCUGCCUCCUGCUGUUAUCAGUAACAUCAUUCUAAAGCAUCAGAUGUCCCUCAGGUCAGCUUAUUAGACAAUGCUUUUAUAUGAGUUUGAAAGGACACAACUAUCUCUACGUUUUCUAAGUCUGGAAUAGUUUUCCUUAAUGAUAAAUUUCUAAACAGUAAAAUUCAUUGAAAAAUUUUAAAAUUUAUCCUAAUUUAGCAUCUUUUAAAAUGUAGAUUAUUUAAAUAAGAUGGUUGGGGCAUCAUUAUUUUUAUUGUUUUCCUAAGUUGGGCUUAUUGAGGUACAUAUGGUAAAUUUCACCCAUUUUAAGUGUACAGUUAUGAGUUUAGGAGGUCAGGUAACCAACACCACUAUCAAGAUGUAGAAUGUUUCCAUCACCCAGAAAAGUUCCUUUGUGCCCGUUUGUAGUCAAUUCCCUCAGCUUUCUCUAGUCCGUGGUAACUACUGAUCUGUUUUCUGUUCGUAUAUUUUCUCUUUUCCAGAAUGUCACGUAAGUAGAAUCAGUUCUCAUCAAUGCCAAUUUUUGCAUUUGUGCUUUAGCUUUGGUUAGUCUAUUCAUUCUGCAAACAUAAACAUAUCAGAAAUAUGCAUAUGCAUUACACAAAUAGGCAGAAAACUAGAGGCAGCAUUUUGGUUGUUGGGUUUUUGUUCUUGUUUUUGUUUUUGCUUGAGACAAGUCUCAUUCUGUCGCUCAGGCUGCAGUGCAGUGGUGCGAUCAUAGCUCACUGCAACCUCUGCCUCCUUGGCUCAAGUGAUGCUCCCACCUUAGUCUCCUGAGUAGCUAUUACCACAGGUGCAUGCCCCCACAUCUGGCUAAUUUUUAAAUUUUUUUUGUAGAAACAAGAGUCUCACAUGUUUCCCAGGCUGGUCUCUUUCUCCUGGGCUCAAGCGAUCCUCCUGUGUCGGCCUCCCAAAGUGCUAGGGUUAUAGGCAUGAGCCACCAUGCCCAGACUAGAGGUAGCAUUUUGAACUAAUUAGUCAGAAUGCAAAUACAACUCUGUGAAAUAGCUGAAGUAUUGUCACUAAAUUUUUAUCAAUAAAAUAUAAAGAGGAUCAUCCCUAAGAAAAAAUCUAAUUUAAUAGUUGCAUAUAGCAGGGAAUACAAUUCAAGUAAUACCUGCAAUGUUAACUUAGUAAACUAAAUCUCGUUAGGAAGAUUCCCCUCCAUGACACUAUUAUGGUCACUGUCCUCUGUACAUACUGCCACGGCCACAGACACCACGUAAACCUGCCUGAUACCCUUACCAUCUUAGGCAGCAACCAUACAGCCUUCAGGGAUGAGCCCCAGGAAGAGGGCUUCCAACAUGGAAUUUCCCACCCUUGCUUUAUUACAUGGCUACUGCAGAGCCCAAUAUGAGAGAAGUCAAUCAAGUGGUACCUGAAGGCAGCAAGUACACUACAUUUUCUGAACUCUCUUGUCAUGAAUUUUUCAUUGCCUCGGUCUAAGCUAGUCCUUGUACUGGAAAAUAGGCUGCCUGGGAGACUUCCCAGAGCACUGACUAUGCCCAGAGCACUGACAUAAUGACAUAAAAGAGUGCAUUUGUAUUGACUGCCUUCCUACAGCAGGCAAAAUGGUUGUCGCAAAGUCACAUCUUUCCUUUUUCUCAGAGUUGGCAAUCUCUGAAAAGUGGUUUGUGAAGCUCGCUCCACCUAGAAGCAGGGUGAUAUAUGGGAAGAAUAUAAAGUUGAUGGUCACUCCUCUAUGUUCAAAUCCUGUCCGACUUUAUAAACUUGCUCAAAUUACUCCUUGAGUUUGUUUUCCUGAAUGAAAAAUGGGGAUGCUAAACACAGUAAACCGUUUGCAGAAAUGGCCACAGUAAUUCUUACCAGCCCUGUACAUGUGCCCACUUAAAUGUGAAUUUGCCACUCCUUUUAUAUUGAAGUGGAAUUUAUUUUUUUAUUCCUUAAAUCUAAACUUCAAUUUGGGCUUGAAUAGGGCAUUAUCAAAUGUAAUGCAAGCAGAGGAUUGAAAAAUAUGUACACAUUGGAGCUUGAGUUGUCUUGCUGUUAGAAACCCUGAGACCACCAUGUGAAGAAUUAUCAGCUAGUCUUCCAGAGAAUGGGAGGUUAUACAGAGAGAAGUCAGCCAUUUAAGCCAUUUUAGCUGCCUCAAAAGUCCCAGCCUUCCCAAACAUCCCAGCCAACCAUAGAUACCCAAAAGCUAGAUAAAAUGUUUAUUUUAAGCCACUGUGUUUGGAGUGAUUUAUUACAUAGCAAAAGCUGAUACAAUAAAAUAAUGAUUACUAAUGUGCAUAAAACGUGUUACAUGGUGUUAGUUCAAUAAAUGACUACACAAAUAAAUAUUAAGUGACUUAGUACAAUUUAAGCUUGUUGUAGAAAAGGAAAAAUUAUCUCUACCACUGAAAAUAUUUCCUAUCACAUAAUAGCCUCCUAAUAAUUUUUUGAAUACAUUGACAGAGACUAGUUGCCAUUCUUUCUCACAGCACAGAAUUGCUUUAAUGUAAUGAAGAAUAUAUUUCAAGAUCUCUCAAGGGCCUGUAGGGUAAAGAAGGAAAGCUUCACCUUUGCCCUCUGAAGGUUUGCUGAAAAUAAACUGACAAAAGGCAGAUUAAUAGGAGAAAAAGUCAUAAAAAAUGUAUUUAAUGUGCAUAAGCAUGGGAGAAUCACAGGAAAAUGAUUGCCCAAUAAUCCAAUGAGGUCCGGAUGCUUAUAUAGCCUUCUUCAUACAGCACGGAGUAAAUAACAAAGUUCCUUUGAGCUCGGAGGGAGGUGGUGAGAAGGCAAGGGGCAGAACUUCACAGUGAACAAAGGUAGUCUUAUUAUCCAGUUAAAGCUUCCCAGUUAAUCUCCUGGAGCUGCCCUCAGAAGAAUAGAUGGAAAGUCUGUUUAGGCAUGGUGAUGACUCCCAGUAUCUCCUCUUCUCUAGUGGUUAAUCUUUUCUGGUUAUUUCAUGUGAUUCUUAGGAGGGAUAUUUUAAGACAAUUGCAAUUCUCCUUGUAAGAAGCUUUCUUAGUCAGAGAAGAAAAUUCCACAGAGUCCCUUCUUUCUUCAUGAAGAAAAAGGAUCAGAGAGACAGGGAGGAAGGGGAAGGUCAGAGAAAGACCUUGGUUCUGAGGCUUAUUUCUAAGCUCCUUCAAUUUUCUUUAAUUCCAAGCACUCAACAUGCCAAAGCACCAUAUUUUGGGGUAUUGCUUUCUGUACCCCAAAAGGCCUCACAACUAAAUUUUCAGUAUAUCUAAUAUUUUUUACUUAGAUUUUCUGUUCUUUAAAGGUACACUGUGGUCUAGAUCAAUGUGAGUUACUAAAUCCAUAUUGUUGGUAAAGUCUACUAUUGCUAUUUUAUAAUAGGAUAGAAAAAGAUUAUAAAGUAUCACCAAAGUUCUGAAAUGGAAGUCUUAAUGGAAAGGACUGCUUCUUUACCCAGGAAGAGGCCGCUGCCUUGUUUUGAGCUGCCCUAUGGAGAGUCUCAGUGGCGAGGAAUUGAGGACAGACUUCUGUACGGACCUGAGGUCAUCAUUCCAACAACACAUGAAGAGCUGAAUCCUGACAACAACUUCAUUGGUAAGCUUGGAAGUGGAUUUUCCCCCAAACAGGCCUUGAGGUGACCACAGCCCUGGCUGACUGCAGCCUUGUGAAAUACCCUGAGACAGAAGACCCAGCUCAGCCACACCUGAACUCCUGACCCACAGAACCUGCUAUAAUAAAUGUUGUUUUGGCUAUUACGUUUUGGAGUGAUUUAUUAUUAGAUAACUAAUACGUAUGCAUUUGGGAAAGUAAAGGCCUAAGAGUAUAUGGAAGUGGAAUUGUUUGGCCAUAAUCUAUGCAUACGUUCAGCUUUAAUAUAUACCACUAAAUUGUUUUCAAAAGCAGUCAUUGUCAUGUACACUCCCAACAGCAGUGUGUGAGAGUUUUUAUUGAGUUCUACUGAAUGAUCUUUGUUAUUAAGCUUUUAGUAUAUGCCAGCCACUAAGUGCCUUACAUGUGCUGUUUCAUUUAAUCUUCACAACAGUUCAGUGAGGUGGGUAUUACUGUUUUCUCCAUUUUCAGAUUAAGUGAACCUGCCCCUGUCAUUUACUAAAAAGAGGCAAGCCAGGAUUUUAACCCAUGUCCAAUGCUCUUAGCCAUUAAGCCUCUCCUGAGACAGAUUUCAAUGCAAUUAUAGCCACAGAGAAAACACAUGUGAAAAAUAACCAUCAUAGCGCACUAAAGGAAGAGCAGCAUUUCAUCUUGUGCAUAAGUUAACCAUCAGCACUGCACAGGGCUGAUGAGGAGAAGAGGCUUCCAGACGGAGUUAGCAAAGGAAGAAAGAUAGGCAAUUUGGAAGGAGGGAAAGGAUGGCCCAGGAAGGCUGGGAGGUAAAGAAUAUGCAAGCAAGGUCAAGAGCUCUAUGCAUUUGGCUCACUCUGCCCUCUGCAUUUCCAGCCUCAUGCAGCGAUGUCAUCCUUAGCAGUGAGUUGUCUACUUUUUCCGUAGCUCUCCCCAGAAUAACACAGACCCCAGGGUCUUAAAUGAAGGAGUGAUUUUUCCAGAUAUUUCACCUUUCCCAAGGGAGAACACUACUCAGUUGUCUCUCCUUGGAACUCCUUCUUUUGCUGUUUAUUGUUUCUGAGUGUGAUUUUUUCCUUUCUUCCUCAUUCCGCUGGUGCUUGUCACCACUCUGAUGGGAAUUCCUCUUAAAAUGCCGGCAGUCUCUUUGAUAAGCCUCGCCUUGCAGACCUAAGGUAAACUCCUGGAAGGAUGCCCUGAACCUCUGGCUGUCUACCCACCUUCCACAACCCACAAAUGGAGUGUUUCUGUGUACA
rnacentral:lncRNA from 1 species